UACAGAGGGCGCGAGCGUUUGUCCGGAAUCACUGGGCGUAAAGCGCGCGUAGGCGGCCCGGUAAGUCCGUUGUGAAAGUCGGGGGGCUCAACCCUCGAAUGCCGGUGGAUACUGUCGGGCUAGAGUCCGGGAGAGGGAUGCAGAAUUCCAGGUGUAGCGGUGAAAUGCGUAGAUAUCUGGAGGAAUACCGGUGGCGAAGGCGGCAUCCUGGACCGACAUUGACGCUGAGGAGCGAAAGUGUGGGGAGCGAACAGG
rnacentral:rRNA from 1 species